AGAGUUUGAUCAUGGCUCAGGAUAAACGCUGGCGGCGCACAUAAGACAUGCAAGUCGAACGAACUUAACUCAUUCUUUUAGUUUGAGAGCGGUUAGUGGCGGAGUGGUGAGUAACACGUAGUCAACCUGCCUAUUACAGGGGAAUAACAGUGAGAAAUCAUUGCUAAUACCGCAUAUGCUAACAGUAUCGCACGAUACAGUUAGGAAAGGAGUAAUCCGCUCAUAGAUGGGCUUGCGCCUGAUUAGCUAGUUGGUGGGGCAAUGGCCUACCAAGGCGACGAUCAGUAGCCGGACUGAGAGGUUGAACGGCCACAUUGGGACUGAGAUACGGCCCAUACUCCUACGGGAGGCAGCAGUCGGGAAUAUUGCGCAUUGGACGAAACUCUGACCCAUUGACGCCGCGCAUAGGAAGAAGGUUUUCGGACUGUAAACUAUUGUCGUUUGGGAAGAUACAAGACAGUACCUAAGGAGGAAGCCCCGGCUAACUAUGUGCCAGCAGCCGCGGUAAUACAUAGGGGGCAAGCGUUAUCCGGAAUUAUUGGGUGUAAAGGGUGCGUAGACAGAGGAGCAAGUUGGUUGUGAAAUCCCUCGGCUUAACUGAGGAACUGCAACCAAAACUACUUCCCUUGAGUGUCAGAGAGGAAAGUGGAAUUCGUAGUGUAGCGGUGAUAUGCGUACAUAUUACGAGGAACACCAGUGGCGAACGCGACUUUCUGGACUAUCUCUGACGUUGAGGCCCCAAAGUGUGGGGAGCAAACAGGAUUAUAUACCCUGGUAGUCCACACCGUACACGAUGGAUA
rnacentral:rRNA from 1 species